GACGAACGCUGGCGGCGUGCUUAACACAUGCAAGUCGAACGGAAAGACGCGGCGCUUGCGCCUUGCACGUUAGGCGAACAGGUGAGUAACACGUGUGUAACCUGCCCCUAACUUAGUGGGAACUUCAGGAAACUGGGGAGAUUACCCCAUAUGAUCUCCUGCUCCGUGUGGGUGGUUGGAAAGUUUCGGCGGUUGGGGAUAGACUCGCUGCUUACCAGCUUGUUUGUGUAGUAGUUGCUUACCAAGGGUUUGACGGGUAGCCUGCCUGAGAGGGUGACCGGCCACCUUGGGCCUGAGAUACGGCCCAGAAUCCUACGGGAGGCAGCAGUGGAGAAUAUUGCAGAAUGAGGGGACGCCAGAUGUAGAAGCGCCGCGUGCGGAAUGACCGCCUUCGGGUUGAAAACCGCUUUCGCAUGUGCCGAACCGUGAGUGACGGUAAUGGGUAAAGAAGCCACGGCUAACUACGUG
rnacentral:rRNA from 1 species